rnacentral:rRNA from 1 species
CUUGGUGGUUGGAGCGAGGCGGACCCACCCGUAACCAUCCCGAACACGGAAGUGAAACGCCUCAGCGCCGACGAUACUGCAUCCGCAAGGGCGUGGGAAAAUAGGUCACCGCCAGGG